rnacentral:lncRNA from 1 species
AUUAAUUUUUGUAUUUGGCAGUUGGGUUAAAAGUCAACAGGAGUUGACUGGUGGUGGUGGUGGUGGUGGUUCGAUUCUGUGAGGUUGUGGAAAGCAGGUCCACAGAUAACGUCCACCAUCUGUGUGGCAUCUGCGUGGGUUGUCUCUGGGUAUUCUGGUUUUCUCCCGCGUCCCAAAGCUGUGCACUUGAGGUUCAUUGGUGUGUCUGCAGGGUCCCAGUCUGAGUGCAUGUGAAUGUGUGUGAGCGUGCCCUGCAAUGGCAUGGUGUCCUGUCCUGAGCUGGUUCCUGAUGCAUAGUUCUCCUGGCCCUGCAAUGGUUGAGCACAGACCCUGCUAAGCAGCCGUGCUGGGGAGUGGACUUCAACCUCAUGUGGCUCCAGCCAGCCUGGAACAAACGCCCCCAAUGUGUAGAAGCCAGCCACCUGGCCGACAGUCACCCUCUAGGAGCUAAGAAGAGUUUGCAUACCUGACAGCAGGUCAGCCUGGAAGCACCAUGAACUCUGUGCCAACACCGUGCCAGCACUGUGCAGACAGGGCACAGCACCGAGCUCAGCGCCCCGCAAGCAAGGUCCUGUUAAUUUCCAGGCCAGCUCUUCCCCCACCGGCCCCGCAAGCCUUCAGGGUGCCUCCCGCUCCGUGGCCCACCCCGCUGCCUGCCUCCUUCUACUGAUCUGUCAGCUCCGAUCUGACUCAAGGACCAAGGCUUAGUCGUCCUUCUACCUGCUCGGGUUCUUGCACAAGAAUAAACAAAUCGAUAAAAACCCUGGAUUGAGAGAUAAAGUUAAAAAAGACCUCAGAGUGGCCUGGUGCUGCGGCUUGCUCUUCACAGCCGGCCUCUCACUGGAGGAGGGAUCAGGGCGGGUCUCUGCUCCGCACUGCGCUGGUAAGAGCCUGGGAAGAGAUGCUGUCUGUGGUGAGCACGUGAUAGACAUUCCACGACCCGACCUGUCGGUGCCCUGGUUCUCAUUGUUUCUUCUCAUUUCCAGCUGCAUUUAUCUCUUGUCUAACUUGGGCAGUGUUAAGGGCACAACUGUGUUUAGCCCAUUAGCCAAUUUGUUUUCAGAUAAUAAUGCAAAUGGCUGUUACUCCCAACACACCUAACAAGACUGACAGCCAAUCUCAACUGCUUCUGUGUUUUCCUAUGGAUAUUUCUUCUAAAGAACUCCUAACUAUCUCUCUCCCUGAUGCCACAGAGCUCACGGCAGGCCCUGCCAUCAAGUUAGGGGACCCUGGAAGCCCCUGGAAGCCCUAGGCCGUAACUGCCUGACUGAGCUCCCUGUGGCUCUGCAAGGAACUGGGGCCAUCUCAGAGCUGCGUCCCAGUCUGUGGCCCCAGAAUCCCAACUAAAUGAAGUGCAGUCUCCCUGAGCAUCUCCACCAAGCCACGCAGGUGCUGCCAGAUUCAAAGGCAAUACACAGGCAGGAGUGAGUUACCUGUAUUAAAUCACAAACUGUGUGGCGA